rnacentral:rRNA from 1 species
UGGGGAAUAUUGGACAAUGGGCGAAAGCCUGAUCCAGCCAUGCCGCGUGAGUGAUGAAGGCCCUAGGGUUGUAAAGCUCUUUUGUGCGGGAAGGUAAUGACGGUACCGCAAGAAUAAGCCCCGGCUAACUUCGUGCCAGCAGCCGCGGUAAUACGAAGGGGGCUAGCGUUGCUCGGAAUCACUGGGCGUAAAGGGUGCGUAGGCGGGUUUCUAAGUCAGAGGUGAAAGCCUGGAGCUCAACUCCAGAACUGCCUUUGAUACUGGAAGUCUUGAGUUCGGGAGAGGUGAGUGGAACUGCGAGUGUAGAGGUGAAAUUCGUAGAUAUUCGCAAGAACACCAGUGGCGAAGGCGGCUCACUGGCCCGAUACUGACGCUGAGGCACGAAAGCGUGGGGAGCAAACA